AGAAAAACGCGUGGCUGGAGAAAAACUCGUGGCUGGAGAAAAAUAUUUAAAAAUGGAUAAGAUAAUAAAAGAUAAGGAUGAUAAAAUUAUGAAGCUGCAGGCUCAAUUUUUUCAACAGCACAGAAUCUUAGAUGACAACAAAACUAAGGAUGCUCAAACUUUGUGUCUACAAGCUCAGUUACUGGAAAAUAACAAAUUAGAACUGGACACUUUCAAAACAGUGAAGGAGGUUUUCCAAACUCAUCCCUAACUGAACGUGAGGAUGAGU